ensembl:lncRNA
AGCCGGGCGAGGGUUAGACCGGCCGUGGAGCCGGGGACACUGGCCAGACGCCCCCCACCUGCUGCUCAGCCCCGAGUGGGUACUGCCCGCAGACGGCCGUGAGAAAUCACCAGGUCCCAGGGACAGCUGGCCCUUCUGAGGGGCCUCUCGUUUCCAAAGACCUCUUGCAGAUGGCAAAUGAGGGACUUCACAGCCUCUGAGAAUCCGUGGGAGCUGAUUCCUGUAAUUGCUCUUUAAUCGCUAACUUGUGGUUCUUUUGUGACCCCGUGGACUGGAGCUCGCCAGGCUCCUCUGCCCACGGCAUUCUCCAGGUUUAGAAGCUCUUCACGUGCUCGAGAUGCCAGCCCUUGGUCAGGUCCUGCCCCUUUCUCUCUCCGGUUUCUUUGGGGACCGAAGUCUUCGCACCUUCAUCCCAGCUGUGACUCUAGAGAUGUAGGCUUAUGGCCUCAGCUCCCACUGCCACCAAGACAUGCCUGAAUCCCAGUUCCCAGGAGGAUGCUGCUUGGCCCAUCUUCUUGACCACGGCCACCCAGGCCACAUGCCCUUGGCAUCUGAGCAGCCAGCUGCACUUUGUCCAGCGUCCACCCUGUGACAGAUAGCCUGGGCGGGGAAUGGGGGCGGGGACUACGGUGGCUGCACAGAGGGAUGGCUCUUUGAUCAGAGGAGCUGUGGGCAGGAAGGCGCUAUCAACACAGAGGACACCAAGGAGAAGGCAGGGAGCUUUCAUUUUGGUUUUUAUUAAUUCUCACAACUCCCCACGCAGACAGUGGGAGGAGCCGGGUCUGCAGGGUCAGCAGACCCUCCGAUGAACAGAAUGUGCAACUCUUUCCAGCGUGAUUAGCUUAGCUUUUUUUUUUUUUAAUCUGUGAAUUGUUGGGUCAAUUCCCAACAUCAUGAAGAGCCAGGUUUUGUUCAUCUUGGCGUCCAAAUGAUGUUUUCGAAAUUGGAACUAAAAUAAAG